UACGUAGGGUGCAAGCGUUGCCCCGGAAUUAUUGGGCGUAAAGAGCUCGUAGGCGGUCUGUCGCGUCGGCUGUGAAAACCCGGGGCUCAACCCCGGGCCUGCAGUCGAUACGGGCAGACUAGAGUGCGGUAGGGGAGACUGGAAUUCCUGGUGUAGCGGUGAAAUGCGCAGAUAUCAGGAGGAACACCGGUGGCGAAGGCGGGUCUCUGGGCCGUAACUGACGCUGAGGAGCGAAAGCGUGGGGAGCGAACAGG
rnacentral:rRNA from 1 species